rnacentral:misc_RNA from 1 species
ACAAAAAAAAAAAAAAAAAAUCCUUACUUCCUAAACGUUACGAUAGAGUAAAUAACUGCUCUGUAAUUGUUAAAUUCAACACCCAACAAAGUAAUACAAUUUUGAAUCAAUUCCAAUUCAAAAUUUCAUUUAAUUUUCUCAACAGUAAAGAACUGGAGUUAAUACAAAGAAAUUGAAAAACAAAGUACAACAACCAGAAUUACCAGGAGAAGAAUCUCCUAAGCAGAUCACAACCUGCCCCGCUAAGCUUACAAGCUGGAAUGAAAAGAAAAACAACCCCCAAUUACAGUUUUUAGAAAGAUCCCCUCCUCUCAACAAAAUUAUCUUGUUAUAGUUUCUUUGCCCCAUGUGCUUCCUUCCACGUGCAUUCUCCCUCAGCAACUCUUUGAGCAGAAUUUCCCAUAGCUGUGAAUCAGCUUUUGCUGUAACUGAUUGUCCUUCUGGAACUUCUUCACUCUUCUAGAACAAACCACCCAGCCUUGGCUAUUUUUCUUCAGUUCCUUUCCUCUGUUUUGAUAACUGCCCUCACUACAUUAUAUUGGAUGAAGCUUAUUCUUAUUAUAUAAUUUAGAAUUACAUUAUUUUUAUUUUUAAAAUACCCUUAAUAUAAUUUUUUUUUUGCAAGGAACAAGUUUAUUUUCAUUAUGCACAAAUUAUGUUUAAUAUAUAAUUUCAAAAUAUUUAUUUUAAAUGUUGUGUCUUGUGUGUGUGUGUGUGAGAGAGA